rnacentral:rRNA from 1 species
UACAGAGGUCCCGAGCGUUGUUCGGAUUCAUUGGGCGUAAAGGGUGCGUAGGCGGUCUGCUAAGUUUGAUGUGAAAAUCCCGGGGCUCAACCCUGGAAUGGCAUUGAAUACUGGCGGACUAGAGUACCGGAGAGGAAACUGGAAUUUACGGUGUAGCAGUGAAAUGCGUAGAGAUCGUAAGGAAGACCAGUGGCGAAGGCGAGUUUCUGGACGGUAACUGACGCUGAGGCACGAAGGCCAGGGGGAGCAAAACGGGG